rnacentral:rRNA from 1 species
UACGUAGGGGGCAAGCGUUGUCCGGAAUCAUUGGGCGUAAAGAGCGCGUAGGCGGCCCGGUAAGUCCGCUGUAAAAGUCCAGGGCUCAACCCUGGAACGCCGGUGGAUACUGUCGGGCUAGAGUCCGGAAGAGGCGAGUGGAAUUCCUGGUGUAGCGGUGGAAUGCGCAGAUAUCAGGAGGAACACCGGUGGCGAAGGCGGGAUCCUGGGCCAGUACUGACGCUGAGGAGCGAAAGCGUGGGGAGCAAACAGG